UACGAAGGGUGCAAACGUUGCUCGGAAUCAUUGGGCGUAAAGCGCACGUAGGCGGCCCUGUAAGUCGGAUGUGAAAUCCCUCGGCUCAACUGAGGACGUGCAUCCGAAACUGUAGAGCUCGAGUAUGGAAGAGGGUCGCGGAAUUCCCGGUGUAGAGGUGAAAUUCGUAGAUAUCGGGAGGAACACCAGUGGCGAAGGCGGCGACCUGGGCCAAUACUGACGCUGAGGUGCGAAAGCGUGGGGAGCAAACAGG
rnacentral:rRNA from 1 species